GACGAACGCUGGCGGCGUGCUUAACACAUGCAAGUCGAACGGAAAGGCCCUGCUUUUGUGGGGUGCUCGAGUGGCGAACGGGUGAGUAACACGUGAGUAACCUGCCCUUGACUGUGGGAUAACUUCAGGAAACUGGGGCUAAUACCGGAUAGGAGCUCCUGCUGCAUGGUGGGGGUUGGAAAGUUUCGGCGGUUGGGGAUGGACUCGCGGCUUAUCAGCUUGUUGGUGGGGUAGUGGCUUACCAAGGCUUUGACGGGUAGCCGGCCUGAGAGGGUGACCGGCCACAUUGGGACUGAGAUACGGCACAGACUCCUACGGGAGGCAGCAGUGGGGAAUAUUGCACAAUGGGAGGAAGCCUGAUGCAGCAACGCCGCGUGCGGGAUGACGGCCUUCGGGUUGUAAACCGCUUUCGCCUGUGACGAAGCGUGAGUGACGGUAAUGGGUAAAGAAGCACCGGCUAACUACGUG
rnacentral:rRNA from 1 species